rnacentral:rRNA from 2 species
GGCAACGGAUAUCUCGGCUCUCGCAUCGAUGAAGAACGUAGCGAAAUGCGAUACUUGGUGUGAAUUGCAGAAUCCCGUGAACCAUCGAGUCUUUGAACGCAAGUUGCGCCCGAAGCCAUUCGGCUGAGGGCACGUCUGCCUGGGCGUCACACACCGUUGCCCCC